rnacentral:misc_RNA from 1 species
GGGUAUAUUGAUCACUCACUUUCUACUCAUCUUCUCUGUCUCAUCUCCAACAGAAGCGCAACACAUUUUUUUUAUCUAAUUACUGUACUUUGUUUUUUGUUAAACGAAAUUAAAGCGCAUUAAGGGUUGGCUAAGAGAAAAUUCAUUGACUGGUACAUUGAGGUGGAAAAGAGAGAAGAAGAAGGAGGAAGUUCGACUCCUCACAGCCAAAAUACAUGCUGCACUUUCUGUGGCACGGCUGGCUGCAGCAAUUGCUGGCUUUGCAGCCACCAACAGUAUGGAAAUAGAAAAGAAUAUGGACAAUGAAACUGUGAAAAUAAGUAAUGGGGUUGCCUGUGCCUCUGCAUUGCUAGCCAGUGCUUGUGCCGAAGCUGCAGAAUCAGUAGGUGCACAUAGAGCAGAUGUUGCCUCUGCUGUCAACUCUGGCCUGGCCAUUCAAACCCCUGCUGACAUUAUUACUCUUACUGCUGCUGCUGCAACAGGUAAUGUUUAUGAAUCAUAUGUUGCACUGAUAUUCUUCUACCGUGAAAGAAGAAAAUCCAAACGUCUGAAUCAUAUAUGCUUUAUGCGUUGCCAGGUUUAAGGGGAGCUGCAACCCUCGAAUCAAGAGCAACUUCCAUCCUGCAAUUCCCAGACAGGAACAAAGAGCCAGUUAAAUUAGCUGCUAAAUUAUCAAUAAUCACCCCUUCUGGUAGAACAGCUUUUAGAAUUCUGAGCUUUUCUUUUCUCAAUUUCUGUGCAUUAUUCCGUUUAUGUGACUCACUAUCUCAUGUUUAUUUGCAGAACAAAAAGUACUUAGGUUGGUUUCCAUCCAUUUGAAGCAUAGACAAUUGAUGCUGUGCCUUGAAAAGAAGUACAUGGGAGUCUUAACCACUUCCGAGGAGUGUAAGACCUAAUCUGCUUCCUACAUUUGUAACUUAUUUUUUAUGAUGCUGAUACUAGCUUUCAACCUUUUUCAGAUACAAUUCUGCAAGUGAUAAGAGAAAAGAAAGUUCAAGGCUACUACUUGCUUGGCAUAAAAUGUAAUGGUGGAGACAUCAAGCUGCUGUUUGAAGACAAAAAACAAUUACUUGUGUGGAUUUCCAGCAUUUCUAGUUUCUUACAGAUGCACAACUCUUACCAUGUAAAAUGAGGUUUAAGCAUUUGAAAUCUACCAGCUUCUCCUGUAGUUAAAAUUCAGACUUACAUCAUGCUAGACUUGCAGGGAGUGAGUGAUUAUUAAUAAGCAAGCUUAAAUAGACAAUUGAAUUACCUGCCUUCGCAAUGAAAACUGCAAUUUCUGUUCACAAGAGUAAAAAGAGUAAUUUCCUGAGUUUCAUGGCACUGCUACUGAGAAGCAGGCUAGUGAAAUACAAGGACUGAGUAUUGAUAAAAUAGCAGGGAGACUACUUAAUCCUCCAUCAAGUCUUACGCAAUGGAUUUCUCAUAAUGAAAGCAACAGCUAGCGACUAUCUGUAUAGCAUCACAUUCUCUGAUGCUUGCUGUCAUAUGAUACUGCAUGGAUAACUCGGUUUAGUAGUUCAC